AAACACACAAAGACUAAGAGAGAGUCCCUACCCCAAAGAGCUUACAAUCUAAGACAAAAUAGGCAAAAGACGGGAGAGAAAACAGAGACACAGAGACUUUUCUAAGAUCAAAAAGCAGGCCUUUCUCCGUGAAAACUUCCCCAAAAGGCAGGGAAUGUUUAGUCUGUGGAAGAUCUGAGGUAGGACUUCUGGAUCAGGACCACAGAAAGAAUGUAACAUGACCACACAUGGUCCCAUCAGGUCUGAACUCAGGAUCUUUCUUCCACCUGCAACCACUGAUGAGAGCUCAAAAAACAGCACAACAGGGAAUAUGACCAUGGUUUCUGAGCACAGAUUUGGGCCCUGAUCCUGCAAACACAGAGAGAG